rnacentral:rRNA from 1 species
GGACAAGUGAAUAAGUGCACAUGGUGGAUGCCUUGGCGAUUACAGGCGAUGAAGGACGUAGUAGCUUGCGAUAAGCUGCGGGGAGUGAGCAAACACACUUUGAUCCGCAGAUUUCCGAAUGGGGAAACCCGGCCUUUUAGGUCAUCGUUAUCUGAAUACAUAGGGUAACGAAGCGAACGCGGCGAACUGAAACAUCUAAGUAGCUGCAGGAAAAGAAAUCAACCGAGAUUCCCAAAGUAGUGGCGAGCGAAAUGGGAUGAGCCUUGUACGUGAUAGUCGAUCAGAUAGCAGAAUCUUUUGGAAACAGGAGCCAUAGCGGGUGAUAGCCCCGUAUACGAAAUCUGAACGGUGGUACUAAGCGUACGACAAGUAGGGCGGGACACGUGAAAUCCUGUCUGAAGAUGGGGGGACCAUCCUCCAAGGCUAAAUACUCGUAAUCGACCGAUAGUGAACCAGUACCGUGAGGGAAAGGCGAAAAGAACCCCGGGAGGGGAGUGAAAUAGAACCUGAAACCGUGUGCAUACAAACAGUCGGAGCCUCUUCGUGGGGUGACGGCGUACCUUUUGUAUAAUGGGUCAGCGACUUACAUUCAGUGGCGAGGUUAACCGGAUAGGGGAGCCGUAGAGAAAUCGAGUCCGAACAGGGCGACAGUCGCUGGGUGUAGACCCGAAACCAGGUGAUCUACCCAUGGCCAGGAUGAAGGUGCGGUAACACGCCCUGGAGGUCCGAACCCACUAAUGUUGAAAAAUUAGGGGAUGAGCUGUGGGUAGGGGUGAAAGGCUAAACAAACCUGGAAAUAGCUGGUUCUCUCCGAAAACUAUUUAGGUAGUGCCUCAAGUAUCACCACCGGGGGUAGAGCACUGUUAUGGCUAGGGGGUCAUUGCGACUUACCAAACCAUUGCAAACUCCGAAUACCGGUGAGUGCGAGCUUGGGAGACAGACGUCGGGUGCUAACGUCCGGCGUCAAGAGGGAAACAACCCAGACCGCCAGCUAAGGUCCCAAAGAUUGGCUAAGUGGAAAACGAAGUGGGAAGGCUAAAACAGUCAGGAUGUUGGCUUAGAAGCAGCCAUCAUUUAAAGAAAGCGUAAUAGCUCACUGAUCGAGUCGUCCUGCGCGGAAGAUGUAACGGGGCUAAGCCAGUCACCGAAGCUGCGGAUAU